GGGUAUAUUGUCUUGUGAGCAUGUCGUGUUCUGAUGCAACUGUCUGAUGGAUAUUAAAGGCGAUAUCACUGAAGCUUGCUUCACCCAACCGCAAGGUUGGGCUGUGUUGGAUAUGUGCCCGAUCAACAACGGUUUCAUUUGGGAUACCUUUGGGACCCGUCUUGAAACACGGACCAAGGAGUCUAUCUAGUAUGCGAGUAAAUGAGAUGUAGAAACUUAUUUGCGUAAAAAACUUGACUGUAAUAUAAUGGGAUUACGUGUCUACUACCUAUAAACGGGGGGCACCUCCAUCCCGGGGUAUUUACAUCACAUAUAUGGGCAACUAUAUAUAGUAAAUAUACCAUGAGCAUACUGGACAUGACCCGAAAGAUGGUGAACUAUGCCUGAUCAGGUUGAAGUCAGGGGAAACCCUGAUGGAGGACCGAAGCAAUUCUGACGUGCAAAUCG
rnacentral:rRNA from 1 species